rnacentral:rRNA from 1 species
UACGUAGGGUGCAAGCGUUGUCCGGAAUUAUUGGGCGUAAAGAGCUCGUAGGCGGUUUGUUGCGUCGGCUGUGAAAACCUGAGGCUCAACCUCAGGCCUGCAGUCGAUACGAGCAGACUAGAGUGUUGCAGGGGAGACUGGAAUUCCUGGUGUAGCGGUGAAAUGCGCAGAUAUCAGGAGGAACACCGGUGGCGAAGGCGGGUCUCUGGGCAACAACAUGACGCUGGAGGCAACGAAAGCGUGGGGAGCAAACAGG